UGUGUGUGUAUAUGUAUGUAUGUAUGUGUGUGUGUAUAUAUAUACACACACACACAUACAUACAUACAUACACACA